UUUAAGUAUUGCACUGAAUUUGCAUUUCACAGACCACUUCCAUUCAUAGUGUGGGAGGAAAUGUAAAUAUUUGGGUGUAGGGUGAUAAAAGAGCAGUUUAGACUCGUUAGCUGUAGGCCUAGUCCAUCAUAAAAUGCCAAGAAUAUGAAUGAAGGCGUUUCACUUUCAAACGCUUAUGUCAGAUUGACCAUGUGUAGCCUAGCCUUAUACAGUAGAACUAGUUAUCUCGUAAAAACCACUAGGUAAGCGUUAAAAUGCGCAUGUAGCGGAAGAAUUGCGGCUUUCAACCCGACAUAAAAACCCGAAUGUAGGCCUCACACACAAAACAGUAAGGUUCAGUCAAAUGACUGACUCACAGGAAGAUCUUUGGUCGUGAGGUUUAAGUGGGCAGAGCAUAGAAGUCUUACACAUCAUGGAUUCCUGCCUGAACUGGGAAAUGUCCUAACUCCUGUGUAUUGAAGGAUAUUCCAUUUAAAAUCGGAGUGCAGCAUAAACAUAAAAGUGAAAGGAACGUAAAACGCAACUUUUUAUUUUGCAACAAACAAAUGUAGCGGGCACUCAAACCGGUUUCACGGGGAGGAAUGUUUGUGUUUUACACUUCGUGUCGUUAGUGAGAAUAUACAUCAUGGACACUCUACAGGAGAACGGGCUACCGCACUCACCUGCACUCGAUAUUCCCGGUCGUGAAAGUACCGCCAAAGAACUCGGGGUAUGUGGGACUCCCCUUAUUAAAACAAAGGGCAAUAAUGGAACAACGGAAAGAAGUUCACCUGCCAAUCAUGUCACGGCGGAGUUUGGCAACCAGCAGUUGUACCAAGUACCAUUGGUAAACGCUCCUGCUCCUUCCACGACACCUCUCGGGUUACCUGGCGUUAUGGACGUAGAAGGGAGAGUGGACGAUUCCAGGCUGCGGAUGCACAUUUUCAAGAAUGGUGGUGUGUCCCCUUCGGAGCGUGGCCAGGUGUGGCGUUUCCUGUUUGGGAUGUACCCCUGCAGCUCCACCUCUCUGGAGCGCCCCCUACUGCAGGAGCAGCUCAACAUCCGCUACCACUCCAUGAAGAGGAAGUGGCAGCAGCUUUUUCCUGCCGCCGUCCGACUGCGUAUAAAUGGCACCGAUGCUGAGUUGGUGGCAGCAGUGCGGUACUACGAUGUGAGGCAGGAAAGGGUCCAUCUGCAGGCUCAGAACCAGAGUGAUGAGGUCAGGGAGAGGCUGUCCUUCCUGGAGCUACAGGCCCAGGUGUUGUUUGAGCGGGUGACCUUUGAUCUGGAGGAGUUCCAAGAGGCCAUCCGAAUCAUCGACAAGGACGUGCCUCGGACAGACCGAGACCUACUCUACUACUUGGGUGAAGGCUUGGGCAACCUGCUGGUGUUGAGGGAUAUUCUCAUCACAUAUGCUGCUUUUCACCCAGAGGUAAGCUAUGCCCAAGGGAUGAAUGACCUUUGUAGCCGAUUCCUGGAGGUUCUGGACUCUGAGGUGGACACCUACUGGAGCUUCUCCUGCUACAUGGAGAAGUUCUCCAAGGACUUCCGCGCUGACUGCCUGCACAGGAAGAUAGAGCUGGAGGCAGCACUGCUGAAGGAGUUGGACCCUCAGCUCCACACCCACCUGAUCACAGCAUGGAGAGUUUCACCUUCUGUCACAGAUGGCUGCUGCUGGGUUUCCAAAGAGAGUUUGAGCACUGUGAUGCCCUGCGUCUCUUUGAGAUCCUGAGCUGUGACCACCAGGAGCUCAUCUCCCAGCAGGUGGACCGCACCCGCUACCAGGAGAGGAUUGCUCGCAGGCACAGUCUAGGUGAGAAGAGGAUAAACCAGUGUCUGAGGCACAGGCCGUCAACACGGAAUUCACCUUUGAACUCUUCAUCUGUGCCACCAUAUUAUUGGACAAUAGAGAUGCCCUGCUGAGCUGUAGGAACGACGUGCAGCUCAUCCAGUUCACCAAUAGUUUGCAGGGAACUCUGGACCUGAACCUCACACUGAAGAAAGCAGAGGAGCAUUUCUACAACUACUGCAAGCGCUCUGCUUGGGACUAUAUGAAUGGCCGCUGCAGGACAAGUAAAAACAAGGAGGACCACUUCUUGUUCCAGCUCCGCAGCUUCUUCUCCUGAACUCAGAUCAGUCCUUAACUUAACCUCUUGAACAUUCAGCUACAACCUGUAGUAACUGUGGGGUGGACUCAAAACAAGGGACUUAUUUCCUGAGAGGAGUGUGUACUAUUUACAUGUCUUGUCCACUAACGUUGAAGUAUUAAUAUUGCUGUGGGAUCUACCUAGGACUAUGAUGUGUCCAAAAGGGGUUCUCACCCUUGAUCUGAGAUUCAACUACGUAAUAUGUGAUACUACUGGAAGAAAACAAGUCUUGGAACUGCAUCAAGACCACUGAAAAAUUGCAUGUAGCAACAGUUUGCAUGUGUUGUGACUCCCUGGUGAUUGGUAAACAUAGAAAUAGAAUUAUGGGGAUGCCUGUUCUAGUCAGUGUAUUUCUAAGGAUAUAAAGAGGAUGCCAGCUGCUGAACUAUGUGUCAUAGUGGACCUGUGUGACCGGAGUAGCUGUUCAUUGGUUCAGUUCCGAGAAAGAGCCAGGAGGUGGGGUCAGGUUCGAUUAGUUCUACAAGAUCCCUCAGGGUUGGCACACUUUGUGACAGACAGUAUUGGCAUACUUUCCAGACAGUGUGCCAAUACUGUCUGGAAUACUAUAUGUGCAUAUACAUGUCUGUCACAAUCUUGCUUAGUGAAAGUUUGAUAUUAUGUGUUUGGGUUAGUUUUUUGGUUAUUUAAAGAUGUUUUAUUCGGAUCCAGCUAAUUGCCAUAAAGGAGAUGUCACUUUCAGGUGUCCAGUGCGUUAAGGCAGGUAGGAGUGAAUUCAUAAAAAAAUGGAGGAUUAUUUCCAGAUGUAUAGCUGCUUGACAUUUCAGUUCCUCUGCCUGCGAGUUGGAGAGUGAAGAAUAGGUUUCAGUAUGUUGGAGGGACAGGAUUGUCAUUGUAUGUAUGGACUGUUAUUAUGUAAGGGCUAAAUGUAAUAAACAUUAAAGGCGUGUGAAUCUUUUCUUAAUUUAACCUUUUUAGAAUAGCCUUUGUGUGACCUACUUGACUUGAGCCCUUGGUGAAAUGCUUUCAUGGUUAGUGUAGUAUUUUCAUGGAGCAUGCAGUGAAAGGUUCAGACAACUAUAUAAAAAAUGCUUCAUUUA